rnacentral:rRNA from 1 species
AUUGAACGCUGGCGGCAGGCUUAACACAUGCAAGUCGAGCGGGGUGAUGGUGCUUGCACUAUCACUUAGCGGCGGACGGGUGAGUAAUGCUUAGGAAUCUGCCUAUUAGUGGGGGACAACAUCUCGAAAGGGAUGCUAAUACCGCAUACGUCCUACGGGAGAAAGCAGGGGAUCACUUGUGACCUUGCGCUAAUAGAUGAGCCUAAGUCGGAUUAGCUAGUUGGUGGGGUAAAGGCCUACCAAGGCGACGAUCUGUAGCGGGUCUGAGAGGAUGAUCCGCCACACUGGGACUGAGACACGGCCCAGACUCCGACGGGAGGCAGCAGUGGGGAAUAUUGGACAAUGGGGGGAACCCUGAUCCAGCCAUGCCGCGUGUGUGAAGAAGGCCUUAUGGUUGUAAAGCACUUUAAGCGUGGAGGAGGCUCUUUUGGUUAAUACCCAAGAUGAGUGGACGUUACUCGCAGAAUAAGCACCGGCUAACUCUGUGCCAGCCGCCGCGGUAA